GGAUGAAGAACGUAGCGAAAUGCGAUACUUGGUGUGAAUUGCAGAAUCCCGCGAAUCAUCGAGUCUUUGAACGCAAGUUGCGCCCCAGGCCAUCCGGCUGAGGGCACGUCUGCCUGGGUGUCACGCACAGUCGCCCCACAAAAACCUCCUUCCCCGCGAAGGUCGUUGCUCGAUGUGGGCGGAUGAUGGCCUCCCGCCCGCGCGCCGCUCGGCCGCCGCGGUUGGCCCAAAUGUGAAGCUCGUGCGGCGAACAGCGAGGACGAGUUGGUGGUUGAAUAAACGCGACGCUGUCUCGUCUGGCUGCGCGCCCCGUGCUCACGGACCCCCCAGCGUACCCCCCGGGGAACGCUCGCACCGCGACCCCAGGUCAGGCGGGACUACCCGCUGAGUUUAAGCAUAUCAAUAAGCGGAGGA
rnacentral:misc_RNA from 1 species